rnacentral:rRNA from 1 species
AUACGGAGGGUGCAAGCGUUAUUCGGAAUCACUGGGCGUAAAGGGUGCGUAGGCGGUUUGAUAAGUCUGAUGUGAAAUCCUAUGGCUCAACCAUAGAACUGCAUUGGAAACUGUCAGACUAGAAUACUGAAGGGGCAGAUGGAGUUAGUGGUGUAGGGGUAAAAUCCGUAGAUAUCACUAGGAAUACCGAAAGCGAAAGCGAUAUGCUGGGAAGUUAUUGACGCUGAGGCACGAAAGCGUGGGGAGCAAACGGGAUUAGAUACCCUGGUAGUCC